rnacentral:rRNA from 1 species
UACGUAGGCAGCGAGCGUUGUUCGGAAUUACUGGGCGUAAAGAGUGUGUAGGCGGUGUUCCAAGUCUGGUGUGAAAUCUCCCGGCUCAACUGGGAGGGUGCGCCGAAUACUGAAUGACUUCGAGUGCGGGAGAGGAGAGUGGAAUUCCUGGUGUAGCGGUGAAAUGCGUAGAUAUCAGGAGGAACACCGGUGGUGUAGACGGCUCUCUGGACCGUAACUGACGCUGAGACACGAAAGCGUAGGUAGCAAACAGG